GCCUUAUUGGCAUAAUUGGCAGCGCGUCAGUCUCAUAAUCUAAAGGACAUGAGUUCAAACCUCACACGAGGCA